rfam:Camelus ferus unplaced genomic scaffold scaffold140, whole genome shotgun sequence.
GGAGCGUACAGCUCAGUGGUAGAGCACAUGCUUAUUAGCAUGCACGAGGUCCUGGGUUCAAUCCCCAGCACUUCCA